rnacentral:misc_RNA from 1 species
GUCAUGAGCCUCAACAUAUUCUUUUUGUAGUUCUGCAAUGAGCUCGGCUAUCUUCUAUUCCAUGGUUUGGAGUUUGUUUUUAACCUGACCAACUGUAUCACUAUCAGCAAUAAUAGCAGCUUCUACCUGUUCAGCCUCUACCUUGCAAUCUUGGAACUCUUUCAACGGCUGUUCCAAGGAGCUAUCCUCAAAAGUGACUCCUUGAUAGCUCUUUAAGAGAUGUGCUAGAUCUGUAUAGAGAGUGCGUAGAUGGGCUAGAUCACUAUUAGACAAAGCAGUCUGAAGUAGAAGUGCAAUCAAGCUGUCAACAUGAGCAAGCUCAUCAACAGAUAAUCGGUCAAAAUAUAGAGCUAGAAUAUGACGAAGUUUUUGCUGAGCUUUUUGCUGAGCUUUCUAGACCACAGCUGGAUCAGGCACAGGAACUGAAGAUGGUAACUGCCAAGAUGUACAGCAAUGAGAGGUCCAAUCUAGCCAGUGGACUCUCAAACUUGGACAACUCUAGUAAUCUGAAGGCAGACUAUGAAAAGAAAGACAUCAUCGAGACCUGGGGAGGCAGUAGCUGUAGAGCAAGAUCCUUUCAGGGACUCUUGCUGGGUUCAUAAGUUGGCCCUGUAGGAUCCUUCUUAACAAUUGUAGAACUAGAUACCAGUCCUUCAGCCUGGAGCAUAACAUGAAUUUUCCCUACAAAUUUCAUCAUACUGUCAUCCUUGCUGGUGAGAGGCCGAAAGUCAAAAGAAGCAAGUGCAGCUGGCGGCCUCAAUUAACAUAUCUGACGAAGCCCGAGGCAUCUUUUCUGGACUAUCACAACCAAUAAUGUCAAUAGUCUCUGAUAAGUUGAAUACACCCACAAGCAUACGCCCUAUAAUGCGGAGAGAUUAUCGGGGAGGUAUAGCAGCCUUGGCAGAACGCUGUGACAUGUGGAUCUUGACCCUAGAUGGAGCAAGUCAACUUUUCCUUCCUUACGGGUGGAGUGUUUGAGGUGUGA